UGGCUGCAGUGAGGAAUAUUGGACAAUGGGCGCAAGCCUGAUCCAGCGACGCCGCGUGAGUGAUGAAGGCCUUUGGGUCGUAAAGCUCUGUCAGCAGGGAAGAACGGCCGUGUGGUUAAUACCCAUGCGGAUUGACGGUACCUGCAGAGGAAGCACCGGCUAACUCCGUGCCAGCAGCCGCGGUAAUACGGAGGGUGCGAGCGUUAAUCGGAAUUACUGGGCGUAAAGGGCGCGUAGGCGGCUUAUCAAGUCAGGUGUGAAAGCCCACGGCUUAACCGUGUGAAGUGCAUCUGAAACUGGUAGGCUUGAGUAUCGGAGAGGAAAGUGGAAUUCCCGGUGUAGAGGUGAAAUUCGUAGAUAUCGGGAGGAAUACCGGUGGCGAAGGCGACUUUCUGGACGAAUACUGACGCUGAGGCGCGAAAGCGUGGGGAGCAAACAGGAUUAGAUACCCUAGUAGUC
rnacentral:rRNA from 1 species